rnacentral:rRNA from 1 species
AAUAUUUGGUGGCGACCGGCAAACGGGUGCGGAACACGUACACAACCUUCCUUUAAGUGGGGGAUAGCCCAGAGAAAUUUGGAUUAAUACCCCGUAACAUUUUUACAUGGCAUCAUGUAGGAAUUAAAGUUACGGCGCUUGGAGAUGGGUGUGCGUCUGAUUAGGUAGUUGGUAGAGGUAACGGCUCACCAAGCCUUCGAUCAGUAACUGGUGUGAGAGCACGACCAGUCACACGGGCACUGAGACACGGGCCCGACUCCUACGGGAGGCAGCAGUAAGGAAUAUUGGUCAAUGGACGCAAGUCUGAACCAGCCAUGCCGCGUGGAGGAUGAAGGUCCUCUGGAUUGUAAACUUCUUUUAUCUGGGAAGAAAUGCAUUUUUUCUAAAGUGUUUGACGGUACCAGAAGAAUAAGCACCGGCUAACUCCGUGCCAGCAGCCGCGGUAAUACGGAGGGUGCAAGCGUUAUCCGGAUUCACUGGGUUUAAAGGGUGCGUAGGUGGGCAUUUAAGUCAGUGGUGAAAUCUCCGGGCUUAACCCGGAAACUGCCAUUGAUACUAUGUGUCUUGAAUACCGUGGAGGUGAGCGGAAUAUGUCAUGUAGCGGUGAAAUGCUUAGAUAUGACAUAGAACACCAAUUGCGAAGGCAGCUCACUACACGUACUAUUGACACUGAGGCACGAAAGCGUGGGGAUCAAACAGGAUUAGAUACCCUGGUAGUCCACGCCCUAAACGAUGGAUACUCGACAUACGC